UGAUUAUCAUUGUUGAGGAUUUAUGCUUAUUCUUCUAUUUUUAUGGUCAGACUGAAGAUCUGAUUUUCAGGCAGCAUAAUUGCAUUUAGCUUGAGUUUCUGAGCUUCAAUUGUGAAAACAGAAGAUUCUUGUUAAUUUUGUAGUCUACAUUGACUCUGAAUAAGAUAAUCAAGUGAUGAAUAAGUGUUGUCUCCAAGAAAUAGAAACCUAAAACCUUGUAGACAAUAAUCUUUUAAUUUCUUUCUUUUUUUAUUGUUGUCAUUGUCUCCUGUAAGUUGCUCAUGCCAAUCUUUUGAGUUUCUAGAAAUGGAUUUUGGAUCUUUUUUAGCUGAUACUGUCAGAAACUGGUUGAUAUAACCUGAAACAUAAUAAUUCAUACCCAGACAUCAAGAGCAGGGGAACUAAUUAUGAUGCUACUGACUGGUUGGCUGUUUAGCCAAAACUUUCAUCUUGAUUGAGUUUAUGUUUACAUGUUCAUUAAUGCUUGGAACUGUUUAGCAGUCUAGUGUUUGUCAUUACACUAUCAUUGUAAACUAUAAAUCAUUGUACUCCUGUAGUCUUAAAAGUGUAGGUUUGUCGAAACAUAUUUUGCUAUAUCAACAAUGUCUACUUACGGUUUUGUUUGUCUUGCUAUUUAGAUGUAUGAUGUUUGUUACUUACAGCAGUUGGGUGUUUCAAUGGAUCUUACUGUUCUUCAUUUAGUAUACACAUGCUAAAACUAGGAAAUUUGUGCUUUAAAUUCUAUUGGAUUUGAUGUUGUCUUUUUUAUGACAAACUCACAGAACCGCUAAAUUGUUAAUUUGAUGUUUUGUCUAUUAUGCAGGACAAGUACAUGCAAAACAGACUGGUGAGGUUGGUUUGUGUGUUUCUACAGAGUCUUAUCAGGAACAAGAUCAUUAAUGUUCAUGAUCUAUUCAUCGAGGUGCAGGCAUUCUGCAUCGAGUUCUCCCGCAUCAGGGAGGCUGCUGGCUUGUUCAGGCUUCUCAAAACUCUGGAAUGAGCUGGAGAAUUCUUGCAAAUUUUAAUGCUAUCUCGCUCCAUUCUGUACAUUCGAUGUUACUUUUUACGGAGAAUUGACCCAAAAUCCCAUGAUCUAUCGGGACCAAUCAUCAGACCAUGCAUCCACAUUUAUGAAUAUAUACAUAUGCAUGAGCCUACAAAAUUAUUUGGAAUUCGAUUUCUUUCCAUUUUAAAAUUUCUGUUGAA